rnacentral:rRNA from 1 species
UUCAGUUGCCCUCUGAAGCUAAGCAGGGUUGAGCCUGGUCAGUACCUGGAUGAGAGACCUCCUGGGAAAACUAGGUUGCUGUUGGAA